ensembl:lncRNA
GCGAUGAUUCUUUUCCACAGAGCUCAUCAGGUAAAACUUAAGCAGCGCUGUGCUCUCACCGGCAAUGGAGUAGCUCCACCACCUGGGAGGGGGGCCAUCCCUGUGCCUGGCUUUUAUUGAGUAAGCAUCCUAAAGGACCAUCCAGCCCAGGACCCUGUCCCAGUGAGUGGGCUACAGAGGCCUGCAGAGCCCAGGCCCCAGGUCAGGGGAAUCUGUCUUGACUUCUGGGCUCUAGAACCCACAGCUGAGCUGAUGGCUUGUGUUUUCAGGGCUGUGCUACAGCCCUUCCUCUGCUCCAAG